CAGGAACUCACAUUCAGGAUUAUAGACCGGAGAUGCUUCUGUGCAAAUGCAUUUGCCAUAUCCUGUGGAGGAAAAUAAGCAAAUAUAAGGCAGGGUGGCAGGCACACACCUGUGACUACUAUCGAGAGGAAGGUGAUGUCAAAAUUCUGGGCCUUUUUUGCUUUCUUAAAUUUUUUUCCUCCCAAAUGAAAAGUGGGUGAAUGAACGAAAAUCCACUGACCAUCAGAUGUAUUUUACACUCUGCAACAUUCCCUAUUUUUGUGAGUGCAAAUUAAUUCAAAUAGGAUUUCCUUUCCUAAUGGCACAAUCAACUCCACUGUCUUCAAAGAGAGAUGAGGACUGCUUGAAGAUGAGACGCUUGUGUCACAAGGACAUUGCACAUGGACACAGAGCAGUGUGAUGGUUUCUAAGCCACAUGCAUCGUGCCAGGUAGACCCCACUGCUAAGGCUAGAAGGAACUCUAGUGAAGCACUGACUCCAAACAAGGAAGGGCUUUGGUCCAGCAACCCCCUCCCACCCUACAGCAGACGGCUGGGGUCUGGACGCUCUACAACAGGACACAGAAUCACUUAUCUAUUUCCCAAGACCAAAGAAGACAUUGGACCUUUGUCAAACUCCAACACCUGUUGGGAGAACCUAAGGAAGUGUAAGUGCCAUGUUAACCUUUGGGCCAAGAGGCAGUAGAGUGCAAGAGAUGGGUUCAGUUCCUGUCCACCUUACUAACCAAGCAAAUUUUAUCUUUUCAAAAUUCAAUUUCUUCCUCUGUAAAAUCAAGUUAGUCUCACAGCGUUAACCUCACAGGGUUGUGGAGACGACAAGAUGAUGAUGUAUGCAAAGCUCUUAUUCUAGUGCUGGUAGAGAAUAAGGAUUAAAAUGUUUUCUCUUUUUUCUCUUCUCCUUAUACAUUUAAUCCUUUAUACAUCUGUACAGUGCUCUAGAAUUAACAGAUGAUAUUCCUAUUUACAAAGCAUGUUCAGACACAUUCUCAUUAACAAUACUUCUCACAAUAAUACUGCAAGGUAGCUAUUAUUAUCCUCAGGCUGAAGAGAGUGAAACUAAGGCCAGUCUAACCCUGUACCCUUGGGAGACUGUAGAACUAUGUCAGUGCUGAUGGCAGCUGAAGGCUUCAGGACUUCAAUACAGCUGGAAGAUCCAAUAUGUAAAACAAAUAUCUAUGAUUAGUUACUCGAUUUGGCUAACAAUUUCAAUAGUUGAUCUAUGGGCUGAGAAGAUUUCUGACUCCCUCUUUGGCAGGUUAGGCUCCAAGCACCUGUUUACUGACUGCUGCUCACAAGGCACAGCUGCCCACCGCAUGCAUGUGAACUCUGGGGUAUGAUGAAGAUGCUUGUGGGUAUCACAAAGUUCUGGUCUCCUCCUCCCUGUGCAAAAGUGUGGCAGGGAGAUGGUGAAUGGUGUUAAGCAAGUGACUGGAGCCCAAUUCCUGCUGCCGCCAAGGAGUCAGGCCUGCUGGCCCUCUCCCCUUUGCCUCUCCUCUUUUACUAUUACAAAGCUGGCCCUUCAAAGCACAGUGCUCUCUGCAAUACAGAAGCCCUCGCUAUCUCUACAGUGGAGAAAAUGUGCGCCACGGGAAAAGGUCAUAGCAUAGAACAAUCUGAAGAGCACUGGUCUGCAUCCCACUUAGAAACCUCCAACUCCAAAUGUCAAUUUUCCUCCUGAGACAGCAUUUCUGGGCUGCUGCCUCCCGCUCCAGAGAGAUGUGCUUCUGGGAAAGUCAACUACACUGUGCAAGAGGUCUGUGAAAUGUGUCGGCACUUCCAUAAAAUAGAUGUAACUGAGGAUCUUCAGUCGGGCCCUCUUCUCCUGCUUAUUCCUUGGCAAAGAAUUUCUAAGAUCCUCCUCUAGCACCCUGGGCACUCAGGAAGUAAAAGCCACCUUUUUCUAGCCACUAGGGAAGAACAAGGGCUGGUGUUUCCCAGUCUGUCCGGAGAGUGACUCUUUACCCAACACAUGGAAGCUACCUGGAUGCUGAGUGAAGAUAAAUAGUGCCGUCUCCUUGGGUCGUUUAAUUCCAAGCAAGGCCCAUAUUGAUUUUGCCUCUCCCUGUACUAACCUGUUCGGUGAUGUACAGCUGAGGACCAUCUGCAUAACGGAGGGUAUAAUACUCUGGGUUUGGCAACGACCACCUAUGCAAGAGAAAAACAGUAUAUCCCACUUGGCCACUCUCUUGUUCAGAAGCUGCUCAUAAGUAAUUUUCAAAAGAGUUGCUCAAGGGAUUGGGUGGCCUAUUUGGAAUACAGUGGAAACAAAGCUUUAGGUUGUCAUGUUGAAAAAAUCAUGGCCUCAGCCUUUUGUAAAGAUGAGCACCACAAUAGGAGGUGUGCAGAACUGAGGAGGGGUCUCAGAUCCUACCUCAAUAGGGCAAUGCUAGACUUUAAGGAAAAAAUUAAGAAGUAUAAACGUCUUAGGGGUAUGGUUGUCAACUGUACUUCCUUCCCAAGACAAUGAUUCCCAAGACCCCCAUGCUGAGGACCUGCCUAACUGGAGAUCCUUCCCAGAACUCCCCUCAAGGUGUAGGAGUGCUCUUUCAGUCGGAGCUGCCACUGUUGAAAACGAGGUCCAUUUCAACCUACCCAUCACAAACUUCCUUGAUAAUGGAUGCCAGGGGCCGUUUCUGAAAGAGAGAGAGAGAAAGCCUUCAACAGCAGCAACAUCCUACUCAUGCCAAGGUUCUGACAAGAGGCCUGCCAAGCAGGGUCAAGCUGGGGCAUGAGAAUGAACUUCUUUCCUAACAGCUUUUGUUGAAGAGGAAGCCUCUCCCAAGCCAUGGUGACCGACCUUCCCUAGGGUGGGCCAGGCCCAAAGCUUAGCCUUCCUGUUGCUCGUUCUUACUCUUGAUGCCGGUGGUCCCCAUCCCUCAAGAUGUCCUCUGCCAUGCACUCCCCAGGUGCCUUUCCUUGAACCACUGCUUCUCACUUCAGGAGCAUACCUGGUCGAUUUCAAGGAGCUGGGCGUUAGCACCUGGCCACUCAAUGGCCACUUUGACAAUGUCUGACGGUGGUGGCAUCGUUCCCAAUGGGCUCUAAUUCUGCGAGACAAAAACACAGACACGGCUGCCUGGGGAGAAAGAAUCAGAAAGGUGGAAAAAGAGUAUUUCUUCAUUUUUCACUCUUGUUACAUGUUUUGAAGAGUUUGAAGACAGACACUGCAUAAAGUAACACAUGAAACUACCUGGUUUGAAUUUUUCUAGAUCAUACCACAACUUCUGCUUAGGAUUUUGUCUCUUGAGAUUAAAUCAGCAAGAAGAAAUGGGACAAACUAUCUAUCAUCCAUAGAUCAGCCAGUAGCAAGAUAUGCCAAUGUGGCACUUCAGUUUAAGAGUCAAGAAGACUCAGUGGUAGAGGAAUGUAUUUACUGCAAAUUCCUGUCUUGAGACCUUGGGAGGAGAGAAGCAUAUGCUCCGAGACAGAUAAGAAUAGACAGCCUUUUCUUGGUUGAGUGGUUAGCUGGAGGAGCCAGGCUACUUCUUUCUGCAGUCAUCCUAGGAAGAUCCCAGCAUCAGCAGGGCCCAGCUACAUGCUCUCUUGCUUCCUCCCCACUCAUCGAUGCCACCCCUUUCCCCUCAAAGGACACAAUGCAAAGCCUCCUCUGUGUGGGACGACAUCAGAAAAUGGGGAAGAUAACUGGGACAGGAAAUGCUAUUUUCGUCCCUACUGCCAAGGGCAAGGGCGGCUGACAACUCAAGUGGAGAGAGGUAAGGAUAUCCUCACACAAGGGCCCCUCUUAUAAGGACAAGGCUUUGCAAGUACCUCUGACCCCCUCCCCCACUUCUCUCCAAAAUAAAGGAAAAUAAAUCAUCCUGAGCAAGUCUGGAAGAUGGGCCCAUGUGACUGGUAUCCUAGGCAACUCUGAUAGCUUACUGGUAUUCCAAGCAGUAACUAAAGCAUUCUCUCUCCAAGGUCUGACGAAGGGAAGUCACUUGGCUGAUGGAUUAUUUCAAUGUAUAUUUACACUCCUUGCCUACAAGUUCAGGAGAGGCCCCUCUCUUAAUGAAAAAGACCUUUCUGCAUCCUCCAGGUUUAGCCAUUCACCCACAAUUCAUGCCUCGCUAAUGGGGACCACCUGCCUCUCCUGGCGUACAAAGCAUAGCUGUCGCGAGGCUAUUAUGCAUGUAUGCUAUCAAUUUUUCAGCCCAAACACAGAUGUCAGUUCUCACAGCCUGGUAAGUAUAAACCUCUUAGAUGAAAAGGAGUAAAAGUCCUGUCCCCCACAAGCCCAUCGGCCUCAGAAAGAGGGAUGCUUUCAUGACCAUUUCCUAGUCAGAAUGGGAUGCUUCAGAAGUCUACUGUCAUAAAAAGCCAGCAUUUCCAGAACAUGACAAUGUAAAGGAACUAGUUUUCCAAGUGCUUUCACUUAUUUUAUUGUGUCCUCCCAGCAGCCCCACGAAUUAGGCAGAACAGGAUUAUCACCUCCAUUUGAAGAUGGCACAACUAAAGCUCAGUGUUUUGUUAAGUGCCCAAGGUCACCCAGCUAGUAAGUCAUAACGGUUGACAGAACUUGGACUGGCUUCGGCCAAUGCUUUCCCCUUUUCCUUUGAGCCAGCCUCAACUUCUGUCCACUGCAAUUAAACGCAGCCUAAAGGGAUUGAAGUGGGUUGGCCUUAUGGCCCCCAAGGCUUCCAUAACUUCUGCAGCUCAUGGCAGAAUUUUUCACAUGUAAUUUUUAUGUGCCUAGACACACGACAAACCUCAGAAAAGAAACUGGCCCUAUCUGCAUAAUUUCUGGGGAAAAUGCUCUGCUCCAGUUACAGCAAGACAGGGAGUUCUUGUUCUAGGGGUGGCGCCAUCAAUCUCUGGAUGCUUAGAGAUGCAUCCUUAUCCUUAUCGGCAAAGCUGCUGCAAUUAGUAGACAGGACUGCACGGUUGUGAGGUCAAUUUUAAAAACUGAGAUAUAAUUUACAUACAAUAAAAUGCAGAGGGCUUAAGGGUACAUAUGUUUGUAUAUAUAAAUAUACAUCAUAUAAAUAUACACAUGCAUCUCCCUGUAACCAGCACUCAAAACGAGACACUGAACAUUUUCAUCACCCUAGAAAAUUACUUCAUACUUCCUCUUCCCGUCAAUCCUUCCAGUCCUUUAAAGGGGAAUUUCUGACUUAUCAUCAUCCAUGAGUUUUGCCUGGUUUUGUACUUCAUAUAAAUGGAACUAUACGAUAUGACUUUUUAGAUCAUUUGUUUAGUUUGGCUUCUUCUUAUUUUUAAAAUAAGCAGGCACAGAAGGUACAACAGAAAGAACACUGGGCUGGGAUAAUUGUCCCUGCUGAAACAAGUGACUGGAUUUAGAACCAAAGGCCUCAGGACCCAAUCCUAGGUCUUUCACAAUGUAUACAUGGCCCUUUAACCAAAUCUCAGUUUUCUUCUAUUGAAAGAUGUGAGUGUAGAACUAAAGCAUGUCUCAGGUGCCUUCUAAGUCUAAAAGUCCAUGAUUCUUAAGUGGAAUUUAAAAAAUCCAAGUGAGGAUGCCCAUUUUAAAGUCCUUACCAAAUGAAGUUACACCCUUCCUUAAUUUCGAUGGUGCUGCUAAGAAACAAACCCCAUGAUUUUUAACUCCUUUCUGAACGCCGUCUUUGGAGAUUAAGCUAAAGCUCAUUAGGUUAUAGCUAUUAUUUUCUCUUGACCCCAUAUGACAUAUCCUAGAUUGACUCUCUCUUUAUUAAAGUUAGCCCUGAAUGAUUCUCGGCUGUUCAAAAAUUCGUAUACAUUUUAAAGCAUGGAGAUUUGCAACCACCAAACUAUUUGAAAGAUAUUAAUAAGCCCCCAUUCUCAGUGACUCUGUCCUUCCCACAAAGCCCAGGCAGCCUCUCUGAACUGAAUGACACUCUCCACAACCCUGCCAUAGCUGAUGGGACUAAAGUGAAUACCCAACUUUAGCUGAACUAUUCCAGUUCUUUCUCUUGAAUUUAAAAGACAGAGACUGGCUGGGCGUGGUGGCUCAUGUCUAUAAUCGCAGCACUUUGGGAGGCCAAGGUGGGUGGAUCGCCUGAGGUCAGGAGUUUGAGACCACCCUGGCCAACAUGGCAAAACCCCGUCUCUAGUAAAAAUACAAAAAGUAGCCAGGCAUGAUGGUGGGCGCCUGUAAUCCCAACUACUCGGGAGACUGAGGCAGGGAGGACAGCUUGAACCCAGGAGGCGGAGGUUUCAGUGAGCACAGAUUGCACCAUUACGCUCCAGCCUGGGCGACGGAAUGAGACUCCAUCAUAAAUAAAUACACACAUACAUACAUACAAACAAAUAAAAGACACAGACUAAGGGAACUGGGUGAUAAUGACCCUGGAGAAGUAAGAUCAUAGUAAGCUUCAGAGCGAAUACCAUGGCAAGCCAAAGAUCCGUACGAGCCAAAGAUAUGGAGAAUAAAAAACCAAGAGCCUUUCAGAGGAAGUGAUUCUGCAGGAGGAAUCCAUAAAUAUCUAAAUGAACUGAGGCCAGAAAUCAGAAAGAGAUGGAAAAGCCAUUACCUGCUAACUUUCCAGAUUAUGUGGCUAUUACUUCCUAUGCUCGGGGUACCUGAAAGUCCACUGUAUCCUGCCAAUAAAACUCCUAUAAAUUAAGCUAGUCUAUGUUUCUACUCAUUGCAACUAAUACGCCUAAGACCACAGCUGCCCCCAAGCUCUGCAGGAACUCUAAAACGGAGGUCUGAGCAGACAGCAGCAUCACUAGCAUAUG
rnacentral:lncRNA from 1 species